AGUGAACGCUGGCGGCAGGCCUAAUACAUGCAGGUCGAGGGGUAAAUAUUGUAGCAAUACGAUAUGAGACCGGCGCACGGGUGCGUAACACGUAUGCAACCUACCUUAUACUGGGGUAUAGCUCCGAGAAAUCGGAAUUAAUCCCCCAUAACGUUUCAGUAUGGCAUCAUGCAGAAACUAAAGCUCCGGCGGUAUAGGAUGGGCAUGCGGUGCAUUAGCUAGUUGGUGAGGUAAUGGCGCACCAAGGCUAAGAUGAAUAGGGGGUCUGAGAGGAUGAACCCCCACACUGGUACUGAGACACGGACCAGACUCCUACGGGAGGAAUCAGUAGGGAAUAUUGGUCAAUGGACGCAAGGCUGAACCAGCCAUGCCGCGUGCAGGAUGACAGCCCUAUGGGUCGUAAACUGCUUUUAUAUGGGAAGAAACCCCUGAAUGCGUUCGGGGCUGACGGUACCAUAUGAAUAAGGAUCGGCUAACUUCGUGCCAGCAGCCGCCGUAAUAC
rnacentral:rRNA from 1 species